rnacentral:rRNA from 1 species
AUGGGGGCUCGUGCUAUAAUGGCAAACUAUGUUAAUGCAUACUCACCUAAAGUAACUCGUAUAAUAGGGGGAUGGAGUAUCCCUCAUGGUGGUUUUGUGAAGGUGAAUGUUAAUGCCGCUUUCGAUCAUGAUCUUUUCCAAGGCACAGUGGUGGCGGUCCUGAGAGAUGACAAGGGGAGGUUCAUCGUUCGUGGAAACUGGAAGAUUGAUUGGUGUGAUGAUGUAUUAACAGCAAAAGCUCAGACUCUAAAGUUUGGCUUAUUCCUUGCACAGAUGGCGGGCUGCACCCGCCUUGUUGUAAAUUCAGAAAACAUGGAAGUGAUCGACACAAUGAAGAAUGGAGGACACUCGGUGGGAGCGGCAGGUGCAGUUUUUGAUGAUUGCUAUGUUUUGGCUUGUGAUUUUCCUGUAGUUAAAUUUGUACAUUGUAAUACGAAAGCAAAUAAAGUGGCACAUGAAAUAGCUAGGUUAGCAAAAAUUUCAGCCACUAGGGAUGGGUUUGAGGAGCCUAUGAAUGAUAGUGUACCUCUUGUUAUGGACGAUGUAACAAUUAUUUCUAAUUAA